rnacentral:rRNA from 1 species
GACGAACGCUGGCGGCGUGCUUAAUACAUGCAAGUCAACUUGACUUUAGAUAGCAAUAUCGAAAGUAGGGUGGCGCACGGGUGCGUAACGCGUAGGUAAUCUGCCCUGAGGUCUGACAUAACCCGUCGAAAGGCGGGCUAACAUCAGAUGAUAUAUAGUCACGACAUCGUGGAAAUAUCAAAUCUUCGGAGCCUUGGGAUGAGCCUGCGUCUGAUUAGGUAGUUGGCGGAGUAAUAGCCCACCAAGCCUACGAUCAGUAGCUGGUCUGAGAGGAUGAUCAGCCACACUGGAACUGAGACACGGUCCAGACUCCUACGGGAGGCAGCAGUAAGGAAUAUUGCUCAAUGAGGGGAAACCCUGAAGCAGCAACGCCGCGUGAAGGAUGAAAUACUUUUGUAUGUAAACUUCUGUAAGAUGGGAAAAAUAUUCUCCUUGGGAGAAUUGAUUGUACCAUCAGAGUAAGCCCCGGCUAACUACGUG